AGAAGGACUCUGAAAUUUUCCCAGGUUUCUCUCAGCAGGUUCUUUUAACUCACAGCCAACCACCUGCCCAAGGAGUACUCCUGUCCAGGAAAGGACUUCUAAAUAAUUAAAGUGAUGUCCAUGAGUGAUCUUUUUGCAGCAAAUGAGGUCUGGAGAGAUAUUACCAACUUGGCACUUGAAGAGGAAGAGGAAGGGGAAAGAAUGCAGUGCAUGUUUACACCUGCAUGGCCGGGAUCUGCUGAGGAACUCCACAAUCAUGGGACCAGAGGGCCCUCCCCGUGCAGGGGAACACAAAACAACCAACGGGGAAUGGGAUUGACCAGGCAGUAGGGAAACCCCAUAGGCCGUGCCUCUACUCCAGGGUCCCCUCUCCCUGGACCCCAUGCCAGGGAGGAGGAACCCCAACAUGUGGUAAGUAAAUACUUCUCCUCCUUCAUGGACAAGCACAGUCUAGUCCAGAAGUGGUCAUCAAUCAGGGAUACCCCAACUGCACUGGAAUGCUCCCUGAUGCUCAGAGCCCCAAAAGGCCACUAAAACAAGUGAGGGUAGCUGAAGCUCCCCACAAGACAUUUCCAUGCUCCACAGGUUUCCUUCUGAAGGACAGGUCAUCAGGGAGCUCCAUGUGAUGAUUUUCCUUCUGACUUGCACCAGCAGAGCAGUUGAAGUCAGCCAUAAAGGAGCAUUUGGCACCAGAUCCAAUCAUUCAGCGCUUUGACAGAGUUCACAUCUGAACCCCAGUUACAUUGCCCAGGCUCAUUUCUACCUUUAAAAUCAUGUUCUAGUUAAAUGAUCCCUUUCUACAAACUUAAGAAGGGAAGUGUAAUUUAGAAGAGUGGAAACUAUUAUUUUAAGGUUGAUUAAUUGAGUAGGCACCGUGCUGAACACCACUUCCAGAGGCAAGGGAUGCACUGUGUUACCAAAUGAUUAUUUAAUGACUCAUAAUCCCUGUGCAUGAGAUGUCACUCCUGAGGAAUUAGUUUUAAAUGGGGUAGUGGUGUCUACUCAAGGUGUGGAGCUAGAUGUCAAAUCACUGUAAUAGCUACAUUUUUGCAUCAGCCAACAUCAAAUUUCAGCAGUUUGUGGCUGGAAUCACUAAUGCAUAUACCCACUGCUGGAAUGAUUCAUGACUGCAGAGUAAGAAAAAUGAUUUAAAAAAACCUUUUGGUGCCAAAUGGUAUACUUCAAUAACUUAAACUUUGAACCAAAAUAUUUCUAUUCCUGCUUUUGAAUAUC